rnacentral:snoRNA from 1 species
UUCAAUGAUGUUUCCAAUUUAUAAACUUUCACAAUGAUAUUUGAAUACAACAUGAUAGUUACAUUAAUCUGA